CUAUCAUAUAAGAAAAGUCUACCAUUUGGGACUUUCUUAGGCUAUCCACAUCAGCAACUCUUCUAUGGUUGAUCCACAUCAGCAUCCUCAAAAUUAACUUCUUCUUCCACUAUGAUUCGACAGUUACAUCCUCCUGUUUUUCAAUUUCCACUAUCCUCAUAACUACCCUUAAACCCCAUCCUCUUUCACGGUUACGAAACUUUCCAUCUUCCCCUUCCAUUCUUCUUCUACAGCGGUUUCACAAAACCCUUUCACUUCCAAAUAGUUUCUAAUUUCUCUGUAACAUGGAUUCGUUAAACUAUCUAAUGCUAUGUAAUCACGGUUUGUGGUGGCCUUCCUCCCAGCGAUGGAGAAACUCGAGUGCAUUUUCCGGUGAAUGGAGUUCAGCGCGACUGCGAUUUACUCUGAUGUUUCAGUGAUUAUAGUUACCCAUUGACAGUGGAUAAUUCUUCAAAACAUUUUGUCCUUGAUGGAAGUUUUGUGGGUGUUGCAUUUGCUAAACAUUUGAUUCACAUAUAUGCCUUCAAUGGAUCGAUUGAUCGAAUGAGCUUGCCCAACGAGGUCUGUUUUAUAACUAUGUUAGCAACAUCUUUUGUUUCUCUUUUGAGGUAAGCACUAAGAAUCCCCAAAAUAUAUUUGGUUUUGAAUUUUGAAUAAUUUUCAUAUUUGCGCGUAGUCUAUUGGUACAUUUUAUGUUGCGGCUAGAUAUGAAAGUGCAAUGCCUCUGCCACCUUCUGUUAUCAUCUGCGGAACAGGCUAGAUGGUAAGGUUUGAUUUUGAUUUAGUUUUUAAAGUAUCAGGUUUCAUGGUGUUGGCUCACGCGGAAGGGGAAAGAUCCAUCACCGAUGCAAUUUCUGAUGAUGUGUCGGUGUUUGUUAUUACUUUGUAUGAUUUGUUAAAUUUUGUUUGGAUAAGUUGUAACCUGAUUUUGACGUGGGUUUAUGCAGGUUCGAUGAUGAAGCACAAGUUUUCUUGGCCAUAAAAAAUAAAGGAUGGCAAUGAGAUAGAUUGAUCGGUUCUUUGUACUAUUUUGAUUUUGUUUAUGCUUUGAAUUUCAGGUGGCGGUUCAUUCCAAUAUAGGUUUUUCCGAUUACGCUAACGGUUACCUAUAGUAUUUUGAUCAGGAACUCAUAUUUUAGUGACACUCAUAUUUAUAUAAUAUUUUUAGCAUAACUUCAGUCCUCAGAGUGAAUAGUUUGUCAGUUCGUUGAUCUUAUUUUCAGCUUUGCAUCUCCUGAAGAUACGACACUCUGCAUAUUAUGUUUCUCUAAUUGAGAUUUGAGCAUGUGUCAUUUGGAUUAUCUUAUUAUGUUAUUAAUUUAUUUGUCUUCAACAUGCAGGAGCUAGAGAAUAUGUUGCCAUGCAUACCAAUAACUGAACCUAAAUAUCAGCUACGUCUGAAAUAUGUAAUGCUUUCUAACUCUUUUGUUAAGUUCGAACGCAUUAGGUUGUUAAUCUGGGUUAGCUGCACCUAGCGUCGAACCCCCUAAAAUGCUAUAGCGGCGGAUAGCGGGAUGACCGCCAUUGUGAAGACUAAAAAACAAUGUAUGUGGAAAGCUGCCGGAGCACUCCAUGUCUCAGGAAACUGCUGCAGUGGUAAUGUCUGGAAUCAGUGACUGUGUUGGGUCAAAGAACUAAGCCUGAAUCAUAGCAUGAUAUUUCUGGAUCUUGAUUGUUACUAUCACAUAUUGCAGAAAGGACCUUCUGUUGCUGAUACUGUCAUAGGAGAGGGGAACACAACAAUAUGGAAGAUGUGUGGUCUUGACAAGAGUACAUGCUUAACUGUGUUGUUUGAUCUUUCAUCAAGUGAUCGUUCAAAUACUCCAAGUGCUGUCAACCCACAAUUGUACCUGUAGUUCCUUACAAGUUACCAGGGCGCAAAUGGUCAAU